UUUGAUUGCCAUGACAGCUACAUCUGUCAGGCGUCCUCACAAGUAACCUGCAUUCAGAGAGUUCCGCCACAGGGCGGGACACCCCGAAAUACCGGGGCCAUAGCUCAGCUGGGAGAGCACCUGCUUUGCAAGCAGGGGGUCGUCGGUUCGAUCCCGACUGGCUCCACCACUGACGACGACUUUGGGUCUGUAGCUCAGGUGGUUAGAGCGCACCCCUGAUAAGGGUGAGGUCGGUGGUUCGAGUCCUCCCAGACCCACCACUCUGAAUGUAUCGCACACUAAGAAUUUAGAUGCUCGGCGUUGAGGCCGUAGCGUUGUUCUUUAAUAAUUUGUGAUGUAGCGAGCGUUUGAGAACAAACUUCUCGACGUGUCGUUGUGGCUAAGGCGGGGACCUCGAGUCCCUAGAAAUUGAGUCGUUAUAGUUCGCGUCCAGGCUUUGUACCCCUGGACUGAAUAUGACCUUGAGGCAACUUGAGGUUAUAUGGUCAAGCGAAUAAGCGCACACGGUGGAUGCCUUGGCGGUCAGAGGCGAUGAAGGACGUGGCAGCCUGCGAAAAGUGUCGGGGAGCUGGCAACAAGCUUUGAUCCGGCAAUGUCCGAAUGGGGAAACCCACUGCUUCGGCAGUAUCCUGCAGUGAAUACAUAGCUGCUGGAAGCGAACCCGGUGAACUGAAAUAUCUAAGUAACCGGAGGAAAAGAAAUCAACCGAGAUUCCCUAAGUAGUGACGAGCGAACGGGGACUAGCCCUUAAGCUGGUAUGGUUUUAGAAAAACAACCUGGAAAGGUUGGCCAUAGAAGGUGAUAGCCCUGUAUUUGAAAGGGCCAUACCAGUGAAGACGAGUAGGGCGGGGCACGUGAAACCCUGUCUGAACAUGGGGGGACCAUCCUCCAAGGCUAAAUACUCCUGACCGACCGAUAGUAACCAGGGCUUUCAA
rnacentral:sRNA from 1 species